rnacentral:rRNA from 1 species
CCUACGGGAGGCAGCAGUGGGGAAUAUUGGGCAAUGGGCGAAAGCCUGACCCAGCGACGCCGCGUGAGGGACGAAGGCCUUCGGGUUGUAAACCUCUUUCAGCAGGGAAGAAGCGAAAAGUGACGGUACCUGCAGAAGAAGCACCGGCUAACUACGUGCCAGCAGCCGCGGUAAUACGUAGGGUGCAAGCGUUGUCCGGAAUUAUUGGGCGUAAAGAGCUCGUAGGUGGUUUGCCACGUCGGAUGUGAAAACCUGAGGCUUAACCUCAGGCCUGCAUUCGAUACGGGCAGACUAGAGUGUGGUAGGGGAGACUGGAAUUCCUGGUGUAGCGGUGAAAUGCGCAGAUAUCAGGAGGAACACCGGUGGCGAAGGCGGGUCUCUGGGCCAUAACUGACACUGAGGAGCGAAAGCGUGGGGAGCAAACAGGAUUAGAUACCCUGGUAGUCCACGCCGUAAACGGUGGGCACUAGAUGUGGGGACCUUCCACGGUCUCUGCGUCGCNGCUACGCAUAGUGCCCGCCGUCGGGUAGGUACGGCCGCGACGGACGUAAACGUACGAAAGUAGUAAGUUAGUACGGUUCGUUGUAGACGUUAGCCGACGGACGACGACGAGGGAGGAGG